UUGGAGGUAGUGACAAUAAAUCACAAUGCGGGACUGUUAGUCUUGCAAUUGGAUUGAGAACAACGUACAACUCUUAUCGAUAAGCCAUUGGAGGGCAAGUCUGGUGCCAGCAGCCGCGGUAAUUCCAGCUCCAAUAGCGUAUAUUAACGUUGUUGCAGUUAAAAAGCUCGUAGUUGAAGUGAGGGAGUGUGUGGGUAUGAGAGCUAGUCUCAAGUACUCACAACCUCCCCCCUCCAAUCGGUGUAGUGGGGUAUUCAGUUAUUCUACUACUCCUUUGGUCGUUUACUGUGAGAAAAUUAGAGUGUUCAAAGCGGGCGUUUGUUUGAAUAGAUUAGCAUGGAAUAAUGAUUGAAGGCUUUCGUGUUCGAUUUGAUUGGUUUGUUCAUGGAAGCAAGGUUAAAAGGAACAGUUGGGGGUAUUCAUAUUCACUAGUUAGAGGUGAAAUUCUCGGAUUUAUGGAAGAUGAACAAGUGCGAAAGCAA
rnacentral:rRNA from 1 species